GAUGAACGCUAGCUACAGGCUUAACACAUGCAAGUCGAGGGGCAGCAGGGAGAUAGCUUGCUAUCUUUGCUGGCGACCGGCGCACGGGUGAGUAACGCGUAUCCAACCUUCCCCUUACUCGGGUCCAGCCCGUUGAAAGACGGAUUAAUCCCCGAUGUUCUCAUUUUUUGGCAUCAAUUAAUGAGCAAAGAUUUAUCGGUAAGGGAUGGGGAUGCGUAUGAUUAGCUUGUUGGCGGGGUAACGGCCCACCAAGGCUACGAUCAUUAGGGGUUCUGAGAGGAAGGUCCCCCACACUGGAACUGAGACACGGUCCAG
rnacentral:rRNA from 1 species